CGAACGCUGGCGGCGUGCUUAACACAUGCAAGUCGAACGGGUCUGCCCUGUUUUUUGCGGGGUGGGUCAGUGGCGAACGGGUGAGUAACACGUGAGUAACCUGCCCCUCACUUCUGGAUAACCGCUUGAAAGGGUGGCUAAUACGGGGUGUUCUGGCUGUGCCGCAUGGUGUGGCUGGGAAAGAUUCACUUUUGUGGUGUUUUGGUGGGGGAUGGGCUCGCGGCCUAUCAGCCUGUUGGUGGGGUGAUGGCCUGCCAAGGCUUUGACGGGUAGCCGGCCUGAGAGGGUGGGCGGUCACACUGGGACUGAGAUACGGCCCAGACUCCUGCGGGAGGCAGCAGUGGGGGGUAUUGCACAAUGGGCGGAAGCCUGAUGCAGCGACGUCGCGUGAGGGAUGGAGGCCUUCGGGUUGUGAACCUCUUUCGCCGGUGAAGAAGGUCCUGCUCUUUGUGGUGGGGUUGACGGUAGCCGGGUUAUGAAGCGCCGGCUAACUACGUG
rnacentral:rRNA from 1 species